AGGAGAGUUUGAUCCUGGCUCAGGAUGAACGCUGGCGGCGUGCUUAACACAUGCAAGUCGAACGAAGCAACUUAUUACGAUCCCUUCGGGGUGACGAUUUGUUGACUGAGUGGCGGACGGGUGAGUAACGCGUGGGUAACCUGCCUUGUACAGGGGGACAACAGUUGGAAACGACUGCUAAUACCGCAUAAGCGCACAGCUUCGCAUGAAGCAGUGUGAAAAGUUAUUUCGGUACAAGAUGGACCCGCGUCUGAUUAGCUAGUUGGUGAGGUAACGGCCCACCAAGGCGACGAUCAGUAGCCGACCUGAGAGGGUGACCGGCCACAUUGGGACUGAGACACGGCCCAAACUCCUACGGGAGGCAGCAGUGGGGAAUAUUGCACAAUGGGCGAAAGCCUGAUGCAGCGACGCCGCGUGAGCGAAGAAGUAUUUCGGUAUGUAAAGCUCUAUCAGCAGGGAAGAUAAUGACGGUACCUGACUAAGAAGCACCGGCUAAAUACGUGCCAGCAGCCGCGGUAAUACGUAUGGUGCAAGCGUUAUCCGGAUUUACUGGGUGUAAAGGGAGCGUAGGCGGUUUUACAAGUCUGAUGUGAAAGCCCGGGGCUCAACUCCGGUAUUGCAUUGGAAACUGUAGAACUAGAGUGUCGGAGGGGUAAGUGGAAUUCCUAGUGUAGCGGUGAAAUGCGUAGAUAUUAGGAGGAACACCAGUGGCGAAGGCGGCUUACUGGACGAUUACUGACGCUGAGGCUCGAAAGCGUGGGGAGCAAACAGGAUUAGAUACCCUGGUAGUCCCCU
rnacentral:rRNA from 1 species